rnacentral:rRNA from 1 species
GGUAACUGACGCUGAGGCACGAAAGCGUGGGGAGCAAACAGGAGUAGAUACCCUGGUAGUCCACGCUGUAAACGAUGAGUACUAGGUGUCGGGGGUUACCCCCUGCGGUGCCGCAGCUAACGCAUUAAGUACUCCGCCUGGGAAGUACGCUCG